rnacentral:lncRNA from 1 species
UACGUGCAAAAAAAAAAAAAAAAAAAAAAAUUAAAAAAUUAAAAAUUGUUUUGUUUGAAUGUGUACAUAUGUGAUACUAUAUAUAUGUAUGUAUAUAUAUGUAUGUAUAUGUAUGUAUGUAUAUGUAUGUAUAUAUAUGUAUGUAUAUGUAUGUAUGUAUAUGUAUGUGUGUAUAUGUAUGUAUGUAUAUGUAUGUAUAUAUGGACAAUUGAAUUCGCUUUUUUUUUUUUUUUAUCAUAACAGUUUAUUUGUUUAUGUGUUAACUUACUAACUUACUAACUUAUUUGUAUUUUUUGUUUUUGCAGGAGUUGCAUACCACCCAGCAGAUGCAGUAUGGGAAAAAAUAUCAGGCGUUAAGUUCGGUCCCAUGAUAUUAACAGCUCAAAGCAGAACGACGAAUGUAAUUUUGUCUAAAAAGAGAUCAAUCGAAUUAGGAAACAUAUUACAUAAUCUUAUCUACGGUUAUAUAUACAAAGGAGAUAACGUCAGACUUACCAUUGGAAAAGAAUCUAAAAAUGUCAAAAGUGGUUCUCCCUUUUUUUUGCCAAGUUUUAUGGACUGCAGUAUACAUAACGACGAUGAUGCAGGAUCCGCUAAAAUCUUUUUAUGUUUUGUUUAUUUGAAUUAACAUACAUAUAUUUAUGUAUGUAAUAUGUCCUUUUUUUUUUUUUUAACAAUAC